rnacentral:rRNA from 1 species
AACGAACGCUGGCGGCAGGCUUAACACAUGCAAGUCGGGCGCCCCGCAAGGGGAGCGGCAGACGGGUGAGUAACGCGUGGGAAUCUACCCAUCUCUACGGAAUAACGCAUGGAAACGUGUGCUAAUACCGCAUACGUCCUUCGGGAGAAAGAUUUAUCGGAGAUGGAUGAGCCCGCGUUGGAUUAGCUAGUUGGUGGGGUAAAGGCCUACCAAGGCGACGAUCCAUAGCUGGUCUGAGAGGAUGAUCAGCCACACUGGGACUGAGACACGGCCCAAACUCCUACGGGAGGCAGCAGUGGGGAAUAUUGGACAAUGGGCGCAAGCCUGAUCCAGCCAUGCCGCGUGAGUGAUGAAGGCCCUAGGGUUGUAAAGCUCUUUCACCGGUGAAGAUAAUGACGGUAACCGGAGAAGAAGCCCCGGCUAACUUCGUGCCAGCAGCCGCCGUAAAAC